UGCUGUGGCACCCCUUUCUUCCCCAAAGCUAGUAGAAGGAGUUCAGGUGGCUGCUGGCAGGCUGGGGCACCCCUGUGGCUAGUAGAAGGAGUUCAGGUGGCCACCAGCAGGCCGGGCGCUCCCCGUGGUUGGUAGAAGGAGUUCAGGGGGCUGCCAGCAGGCUGGGUGCCCCUCGUGGGUGGUAGAAGUAAUUCAGGUGGCCGCCAGCGGGCCGGGCACCCCCCAUGGCUAGUAGAAGGAGUUCAGGUGGCCGGUGGCGGGCCGGGCACCCCCCAUGGCUAGUAGAAGGAGUUCAGGAGGCCGGUGGCGGGCCGGGCACCCCCCAUGGCUAGUAGAAGGAGUUCAGGUGGCCAAUGGUGGGCCAGGCGCCCCCCAUGGCUAGUAGAAGGAGUUCAGGUGGCCGGUGGCAGGCCAGGCACCCCCCAUGGCUAGUAGAAGGAGUUCAGGUGGCCGGCGGUGGGCCGGGCACCCCCCAUGGCUAAUAGAAGGAGUUCAGGUGGCCGCCAGCAGGCUGGGUGCCCCCCGUGGCUAGUAGAAGGAGUUCAGGUGGCCGGCGGUGGGCCGGGCACCCCCCAUGGCUAGUAGAAGGAGUUCAGGUGGCCGGUGGCAGGCCAGGCACCCCCCAUGGCUAGUAGAAGGAGUUCAGGUGGCCGCCAGCAGGCUGCGUGCCCCCCGUGGCUAGUAGAAGGAGUUCAGGUGGCCGGCAGUGGGCCGUGGCACGGGCGAGCUC